UUUUUAAUUUCAAUUUCAGAUAAUGUCAGAUAACAUUUCUUUACGAAAAAAGUCAUAUUUGUUUUAUUACAGAAACAUAUAACUUUUAGAACAGAAAAAUAUCUUACAUAAAUUCACUCACUAAAAUCCAACCAUGACUCUAGAGCAGAGUUCACCGGAAGUAAAGCAAAAAGAAGAAUUAACGCUUCUGCAAAAGAUUACAUUCUUCUUCAUUGGCAUUUUGUCAGCUUUUACUAUUUACGGUUUGAUACGCUUCUCUAACGGUCUACUUUUUGAGUCAAAGACGCACGCCAUACCACAUGACUUCGGGCACUUAAACGAAGACUUGUUACGAAUGUAAAAUUUUUUUUCGAAUUCCAGGUUUAUUUUACACGCAAACUUUCCUUAGUAAUGCUUGAUUUAGAAAGAAACUCAGAACGCGGUAACAGGCGUGAUGUAAUCUUCCAAUUUCUUGUUCGAGCUAAUAAUUGUAUUUUUGGAUUCGCAUUAACGGGCUUAAUAGCAGUGAGCCUUAUUAUAAUUGCCUUAUGGCUAGUAAGAUUUAUGGAUACUAUGUUCGGUGUGAACAGAAGAAAGAAUGAAUAUCCAGAAGCUUUUACUAUGGACAAUAAUCAAAUUGAAAUCAAAUAAUUUUGCAAGUAUUUAGUUCAUUGAAAAUAUACAUAUCUAAAGAUGUAUAA